rnacentral:rRNA from 1 species
UACGUAGGGUGCGAGCGUUGUCCGGAAUUAUUGGGCGUAAAGAGCUUGUAGGCGGUUUGUCGCGUCUGUCGUGAAAACCAGGGGCUUAACUCCUGGCGUGCGGUGGGUACGGGCAGGCUAGAGUGUGGUAGGGGAGACUGGAAUUCCUGGUGUAGCGGUGAAAUGCGCAGAUAUCAGGAGGAACACCGAUGGCGAAGGCAGGUCUCUGGGCCAUUACUGACGCUGAGAAGCGAAAGCAUGGGGAGCGAACAGG